UUGUAGAUGGUUGUAAAUGGUUGUUGGGAUGUUGUAGGUGGUUACCAGGGCGUUGCUAUGCAGUUGCUAAGGCGUUCUGAGUGUUGCUGUUGUAGAUGGUUGUUGGGAUGUUCUAGGUGGUUACCAGUACGUUGCUAUGCAGUUGCUAAGGCGUUCUGAGUGUUGCUACUGUAAAUGGUUGUUGGGAUGUUCUAGGUGAUUACCAGGACGUUGCUAUGCAGUUGCUAAGGCGUUCUGAUUGUGUUGCUGUUGUAGAUGGUUGUUGGGAUGUUGUAGGUGGUUACCAGGGCGUUGCUAUGCAGUUGCUAAGGCGUUCUGAGUGUUGCUGUUGUAGAUGGUUGUUGGGAUGUUGUAGGUGGUUGCCAGUACGUUGCUAUGCUGUUGCUAAGGCGUUCUGAGUAUUGCUGUUGUAGAUGGUUGUUGGGAUGUUCUAGCUGGUUACCAGGGCGUUUGGUGUUCUGUGUAUAUCCCUUUAGUCUGGCACAAAUCUGGUCUUUAGAUAUGAUAUUUAACAUGCAUGUUCCAUUUUUACAAUGCAGUUUGCCAUAUUUAAUGUGGCUGAAUUGGUUUCAUUUGCCGCAAGUUUUUUUUAUUUUUUUUAUUAUUGUCAUUUUGCUGCAGUAUGGAGAUGUUGAAAGCGCCUGUGAAGUGUCAGGACCCCCGUCGGCCCUCAUUGACGUUCUCUGAAGGGGGUCUGACUCACGUCUGUCAUUCGUAGAUGCUGACAUUUCCACUGGCUGUGUGUCAUGACAGUUUUACUGAAGACUAUUCAUGCCAUGAAUUAUUCAUAAAAACAUCACUGUACGGCAGGCAUGAUUCUGAGGGAUUGGGCAAAUUGAAAUCCUGCUGGCAAAGGUGAAUUAUACAUUAGC
ensembl:lncRNA